GUAGGUGGCAAGCGUUGUCCGGGAAUUAUUGGGGCGUAAAGCGCGCGCAGGCGGUCCUUUAAGUCUGAUGUGAAAGCCCACGGGCUCAACCGUGGAGGGUCAUUGGAAACUGGGGGACUUGAGUACAGAAGAGGAAAGCGGAAUUCCACGUGUAGCGGUGAAAUGCGUAGAGAUGUGGAGGAACACCAGUGGCGAAGGCGGCUUUCUGGUCUGUAACUGACGCUGAGGCGCGAAAGCGUGGGGAGCAAACAGGAUUAGAUACCCUGGUAGUCCACGCCGUAAACGAUGAGUGCUAAGUGUUAGGGGGCUUCCGCCCCUUAGUGCUGCAGCUAACGCAUUAAGCACUCCGCCUGGGGAGUACGGCCGCAAAGGCUGA
rnacentral:rRNA from 1 species